GUGCUCACCUUGGCAGAACAAAUGGCAGCAUAUAUACUAAAACUGGAACAAUACAGAGAAGAUUAGCAUGGCCCCUGAACAAGGAUGACACACGAAUUUGUGAAGUGUUUCAUACUUUU
ensembl:snRNA U6 U6 spliceosomal RNA